GAUGAACGCUGGCGGCGUGCCUAAUACAUGCAAGUCGAGCGAACGGACGAGAAGCUUGCUUCUCUGAUGUUAGCGGCGGACGGGUGAGUAACACGUGGAUAACCUACCUAUAAGACUGGGAUAACUUCGGGAAACCGGAGCUAAUACCGGAUGAUAUUUUGAACCGCAUGGUUCAAAAGUGAAAGACGGUCUUGCUGUCACUUAUAGAUGGAUCCGCGCUGCAUUAGCUAGUUGGUAAGGUAACGGCUUACCAAGGCAACGAUGCAUAGCCGACCUGAGAGGGUGGUCGGCCACACUGGAAGUGAGACACGGUCCAGACUCCUGCGGGAGGCAGCAGUAGGGAAUCUUCCGCAAUGGACGAGAGCCUGACGGAGCAACGCCGCGUGAGUGAUGAAGGUCUUCGGAUCGUAAAGCUCUGUUAUUAGGGGAGAACAUAUGUGUAAGUAACUGUGCACAUCUUGACGGUACCUAAUCAGAAAGCCACGGCUAACUACGUG
rnacentral:rRNA from 1 species